rnacentral:rRNA from 1 species
GACGAACGCUGGCGGCGUGCUUAACACAUGCAAGUCGAACGGUAAGGCCCUGCUUUUGUGGGGGGCUCGAGUGGCGAACUGGUGAGUAACACGUGAGUAACCUGCCCUUGACUUUCGGAUAACUUCAUGAAACUGGGGCUAAUACCGUAUAGGAGCUCCUGCUGCAUGGUGGGGGUUGGAAAGUUUCGGCGGUUGGGGAUGGACUCGCGGCUUAUCAGCUUGUUGGUGGGGUAGUGGCUUACCACGGCUUUGACGGGUAGCCGGCCUGAGAAGGUGACGGGCUAUAUUGGGAUUGAGAUACGGCCCAGAUUGCUACGGGCGGCAGCAGUGGGGAAUAUUGCAAAAUGGGAGGAAGCCUGAUGCAGAAACGACGCGUGCGGGAUGACGGCCUUCGCGUUGUACAACGCUUUCGCCUGUGACGCAGCGUGAGUGACGGUAAUGGGUAAAGAAGCACCGGCUAAAUACGUG